CAGCAGCCGCGGUAAAACGGAGGGUGCAAGCGUUAAUCGGAAUUACUGGGCGUAAAGCGCACGCAGGCGGUUUGUUAAGUCAGAUGUGAAAUCCCCGAGCUUAACUUGGGAACUGCAUUUGAAACUGGCAAGCUAGAGUCUUGUAGAGGGGGGUAGAAUUCCAGGUGUAGCGGUGAAAUGCGUAGAGAUCUGGAGGAACAUCAGUGGCGAAGGCGGCCAUCUGGGACAACACUGGCGCUGAGGCACGAAAGCGUGGGGAGCAAACAGGAUUAGAUACCCGUGUAGUCCCUGUCUCUUAUAC
rnacentral:rRNA from 1 species